rnacentral:rRNA from 1 species
CGAGUCAUGGGGCGCGCUCUGCGCGCACCGGCGGACGGCUCAGUAAUAAGUCGGUAACCUACCCUCGGGAGGGGGAUAACCCCGGGAAACUGGGGCUAAUCCCCCAUAGGCCUGAGGUACUGGAAGGUCCUCAGGCCGAAAGGGUCUCUGACCGCCCGAGGAUGGGCCGGCGGCCGAUUAGGUAGUUGGUGGGGUAACGGCCCACCAAGCCGAAGAUCGGUACGGGCCAUGAGAGUGGGAGCCCGGAGAUGGACACUGAGACACGGGUCCAGGCCCUACGGGGCGCAGCAGGCGCGAAACCUCCGCAAUGCGGGCAACCGCGACGGGGGGACCCCCAGUGCCGUGGCAUCGCCACGGCUUUUCCGGAGUGUAAAAAGCUCCGGGAAUAAGGGCUGGGCAAGGCCGGUGGCAGCCGCCGCGGUAAUACCGGCGGCCCGAGUGGUGGCCGCUAUUAUUGGGCCUAAAGCGUCCGUAGCCGGGCCUGUAAGUCCCUGGCGAAAUCCCACGGCUCAACCGUGGGGCUUGCUGGGGAUACUGCAGGCCUUGGGACCGGGAGAGGCGGGGGGUACCCCUGGGGUAGGGGUGAAAUCCUAUAAUCCCAGGGGGACCGCCAGUGGCGAAGGCGCCCCGCUGGAACGGGUCCGACGGUGAGGGACGAAGGCCAGGGGAGCGAACCGGAUUAGAUACCCGGGUAGUCCUGGCUGUAAAGGAUGCGGGCUAGGUGUCGGGCGAGCUUCGAGCUCGCCCGGUGCCGAAGGGAAGCCGUUAAGCCCGCCGCCUGGGGAGUACGGCCGCAAGGCUGAAACUUAAAGGAAUUGGCGGGGGAGCACUACAAGGGGUGGAGCGUGCGGUUUAAUUGGAUUCAACGCCGGGAACCUCACCGGGGGCGACGGCAGGAUGAAGGCCAGGCUGAAGGUCUUGCCGGACACGCCGAGAGGAGGUGCAUGGCCGCCGUCAGCUCGUACCGUGAGGCGUCCACUUAAGUGUGGUAACGAGCGAGACCCGCGCCCCCAGUUGCCAGUCCUCCCCGCUGGGGAGGAGGCACUCUGGGGGGACCGCCGGCGAUAAGCCGGAGGAAGGAGCGGGCGACGGUAGGUCAGUAUGCCCCGAAACCCCCGGGCUACACGCGCGCUACAAUGGGCGGGACAAUGGGAUCCGACCCCGAAAGGGGAAGGGAAUCCCCUAAACCCGCCCCCAGUUCGGAUCGCGGGCUGCAACUCGCCCGCGUGAAGCUGGAAUCCCUAGUACCCGCGUGUCAUCAUCGCGCGGCGAAUACGUCCCUGCUCCUUGCACACACCGCCCGUCACUCCACCCGAGCGGGGUCUGGGUGAGGCCUGAUCUCCCUUCGGGGAGGUCGGGUCGAGC